AAAUUAAUGUAAAUUUAUAUUNAGUUAUUUCUGCCCACUGAUAAUUUUUAACGGCCGCAGUACCCUGACUGUGCUAAGGUAGCAUAAUAAGUUGACUUUUAAUUGAAGUCUGGCAUGAAUGGGAAAAUGGGAAAAAGCUGUCUUAUUUUAAUUUUAUUUAAGUUACACUUAAGGUGAAAAUGCCUUAAUUUUAGAUAAAAGACGAGAAGACCCUUAGAAUUUUUAUAAAAAAUUAUUUAAUAGUUUUUAUUUUUGUUGGGGAGACAAAGUAAAAAUUUUAACUUAUAUUGGUUUUUGCCGGGCUAAGCCAUGAAAAGAAAAAUUACCUUAGGGAUAACAGCAUAAUUUUUUUUUAAGAUUGUGACCUCGAUGUUGGACUAGGAACUUUAUAAUGAGCAGUUAAAAAAGUGGGUUCUGUUCGAACUAUUUUAUCCU
rnacentral:rRNA from 1 species